GAUCCUGGCUCAGGAUGAACGCUGGCGGCGUGCUUAACACAUGCAAGUCGAACGAAGCACUUUAAACAGAUUUCUUCGGAAUGACGUUUUAGUGACUUAGUGGCGGACGGGUGAGUAACGCGUGGGUAACCUACCCUGUACAGGGGGAUAACAGUUAGAAAUGACUGCUAAUACCGCAUAAGCGCACAGUAUCGCAUGAUACAGUGUGAAAAAACUUUUGUGGUACAGGAUGGACCCGCGUCUGAUUAGCUAGUUGGUGAGGUAACGGCCCACCAAGGCAACGAUCAGUAGCCGACUUGAGAGAGUGAUCGGCCACAUUGGGACUGAGACACGGCCCAAACUCCUACGGGAGGCAGCAGUGGGGAAUAUUGCACAAUGGGGGAAACCCUGAUGCCAGCGACGCCGCGUGAAGGAUGAAGUAUUUCGGUAUGUAAACUUCCAUCAGCAAGGAAGAAUAAUGACGGUACUUGACUAAGAAGCCCCGGCUAAAUACGUGCCAGCAGCGGC
rnacentral:rRNA from 1 species